rnacentral:rRNA from 1 species
AACGAGCGCAACCCUUGCCUUUAGUUGCCAGCAGUUCGGCUGGGCACUCUAAAGGGACUGCCGGUGUUAAACCGGAGGAAGUGGGGAUGACGUCAAGUCCUCAUGGCCUUUAUGACCAGGGCUACACACGUACUACAAUGGCCGAUACAAAGGGCAGCGACACUGCGAGGUGAAGCCAAUCCCGUAAAAUCGGUCUCAGUCCGGAUUGGAGUCUGCAACUCGACUCCAUGAAGUUGGAAUCGCUAGUAAUCGUGGAUCAGCAUGCCACGGUGAAUACGUUCCCGGGCCUU